rnacentral:rRNA from 1 species
AACGUAGGUGGCAAGCGUUAUCCGGAUUUACUGGGCGUAAAGCGUGUGCAGGCGGGGUACAAGGGGUGUAUUAAAUUUCCCAGCUUAACUGGGAAGGGUUAUGCCAGACUGUACUUCUGGAGUGCGAGAGAGGGGCGUGGAAUUCCGGGUGUAGUGGUGAAAUGCGUAGAGAUCCGGAGGAACCCCAGAGGCGAAGGCGGCGCCCUGGCUCGCAACUGACGCUCAGACACGACAGCAUGGGGAGCGAACGGG